UAAACUUUUUGUGAUGUACAGUCCCAACUGGGGCUAAACUCUGUCAUUGUAUUAUGGGAACAGUGAAUCCAUAAAUACAUAAACUGAUGGGCUUGGCUGUGUUCCAUUCAAAUUUCAUUUAUUAGCAGUGCUCAUUGACAUGUAGGUCAUUGUUUGCUGACCCUGAUUCAAAUAAACUUUUUUUUUUUUUAGAGAAAUUCUGCCUCUUGGAACCACAUGACUGAUCUGGAGAUUGAUUCUAUAUAGUUUUCAAGAUUUCUGAUGUAUCUGCUGUUUUCUGGUCAGUUGAUUUGAGAUUUCAAAAACUUUCUGCUAGUGUAUUUCAGAAAAAUCAAGGGCUGAGAUAAUGCUAAAAGAAACUUGACAGAAAAGAGGCCAUAUUUAAAAUGUCUUGUAAAAUCCCUUCUAACCCCUUAAAAAGGGGUUUUAGAGCAAAGCUGAGUUAAGAAUAGGGAGAUCGUUUGGGUAAAAAUAACCACAAACUAUACCUAAGAGUUUGAAGACAUGAUCUAAAAUAGCUCAGUUUUGAAAGUUUUCUUUUAAAUUCACUGUCAUAAGUCUACGUGUUUGGUAACUGACAUACAUUUUACUUUAUAAUUCAUUGCAUCUUCAUGUGUGACAACUUUGUGUUUUUGUAUGUAGCCAAGUUUUCCAUUGCUCAAGAUUCCCUAGAUUUUAGAGAGAAACAGAGCGAACUCAAAAUUCUAAAAUUGCAUCACUAUAGACAUUUUCUAAAAGGCUUCAGACAGAAAACACACUUCUUGGCAGAAAUAUGCUUGAAGCUGGGAGGUGAUGUCCCAAGAGCCCACAUUAACUUAGCUCUGUUGAGGAAGCUGGUCCUUAGAAACAUCAAGAAGAGAGAAGGACUUGGCAUCAACUUUGCCGAAUCAUAAACUCUGCUUUUUACAAUUAUUCCUUUUACAUCCCUAAUGGGUUUUUUCAGUGCUACAUUUUCGAGGUCCCGGUUUCAGGUCACUGAAAAGGCUCUGUAACUCUGAAACACAUUUCCAAGAUACAGAAAUAGUUUCGGACCAGAGUUUUUAUGUGUGAUUAACCUUUGUAGGGCACAUUCGCCUUUAUGGACCUAUCAAAGAGAGGCUGAGUGAAAUUAUAUAUUUAUUAACUGCUUUCUUCAAUUCUUUCUUUCAGGAACUUAUUUAUCAAACAGGAUUUAAUAAAUCAGUCUUUUUACGUAAUCAACAAAUAUAGUGAUGCCUUUCCUACUCCCCAAAAAUAGUCAUUGUUGAGAGAGGAGGCAUACAAAGGAUACACAGUUCUGGUCCCUGUCUGUUGUAGAAUAUUGAAACUCAUCCCUUAUUGUCCCAAAAAAAGAGAGAGAGGGAGCACUUAGUCUUAUUGGGGGCAAUCGGGAAAGUUGAGGAAUAGAGAAUCAAGUGCAUAAAACUAAGAGUGUUCUGAACUGAGAAUUCAAUACAUGUUAGCUAUUAAAACUUUAUUAAGACUAUAAUUUUAUUCAUUAUUGUUAUUAAUAAUGGAUUUACUCGAAUGACAUAUUGGGAAAGGACUCUUUCUCAUAAGGAAAAGAAAAAUAAAAGAAAAUAUAUGCAAAAAUAAUGUGGCUUUAAUGUCAAAACCAUUGUAUAUUUAACAUUUUGAAAUUGUCUGAAGCAAGCACGUAAAUUGAUAAAGAAGAAAUAGCCCAUUAUUCAACUUUCUCCUCUGCUGAAUUUUAAGCUAUGAAACAGCUAUAACAGAAAACUACUCUUCUAUGCGUUCACUAAAAACUCAUGAAAUGUGUAUUCAUUAGCAGCAAGAUAGGAGAAUAUAAGCAUGGGAAAGAAGCACAUGCAUUUACACCCAUGCAUACAUACACUCACACAGACAUUAGAGUCGUUCAAUUGAAAGGAAGUCAAAUCUUAUUUUUUGAUGAAAAUAUGGAGCCCCAAAAUAAAGCUAAAAUAUUAUAAAUACAUACAAAAACACAAAGCUGUCACACAGGAAGAUGCAAUGAAUUUUGAAGUAAAAUGUAUGAGCCAGUUACCAAACAUGUAGACUUACGUCAGUGAAUUUAAAAGGAAACUUUCAAAACUGAGCUGCUUUUAUAUCAUGGCUUCAAAUAUUUUAAGAAAAUUAAAAUAUUUUAAAUUGAAAACUUGAAUAGUUGGAAUUAGAACAGACAACAAUUUGAUGAUAUUCUACUCCUUUAGGCUUAUAUUUCUAUUCCAAAAAUGUCUUAGGACUGGAACUCAAUGACAAACGGAUAAAUCUAAUAGAGUGUGGCUUGAUCCAAGGAAAAUAUGGCUAAAUAACACAGUGUCUGUGCCAAAUGCUUAAAGGAAGCUUAUAAAACAAAUGCUUGAAAAUAUAGGACAUUUCCUAUAGCCCUGAAACAGCUGAGCAAAAAUUUCCAGAUAUCAAAUAAAAUAACAAUAAAAGUCAUUUGUUUGGCAAACAUGUUUGUAGUCAUGUUUUUUGGAUCAAAUGAAUAAAAAGAAAAAUACACAUAUUGGUUUCACUGGCUACAGAGUUUAAAUGCUUAAUGAAUUUUAACUAAUCAAUUAAAACAUGGAAAGUAAAGAUCAUCAACUCCAGGUAGGCAAUCUAUCUAAAUUCUACACUAAAUUUUCCAUUUUGUGACAUGGUAGGAAGGCAUGAAAUGAAAUGAUGAUGGACUUCAUGGGUGCAUGCUAGUAAACAGCCAAUCAAAGAACCAUAAAGAAACUAAUGGAGAGUUCAAACCACUAGCAUUAGAUCUACAGUCUGAGAUUGGCAUUUUUUUUACAGACUCUAUGUCUGAUUAAAAACUCCUUCUUCGGGAGUUCCCAUGUGGCUCAACGGUUAAGAACCCAAGUAGUAUCCUUGAGGAUGCAGGUUCGAUCCCUGGCCUUGUUAAGGAACCAACGUGGCCAGGAGCUGUGUUGUAGGUCACAGACGUGGCUGGGAUUUCACAUCGCUGUGGCUAUCCCUUAGGCCAGUGGCUGCAGCUCUGAUUGGACCCCUAGCCUGGGGACCUCCCUGUGCCAUGGGUGUGGCCCUAAAAAGAAAAAAAACCAAACAAACAAAACAAACAAAAACCUUUUUCUUUCUUGCUUCUACUGUGUGCCCAAUUCUGAGAAUUAUCACUUUGAUCCAGGUGAUGCUAAUUCUCUGCUAAGGACUUGGCUUUUUCAUUGCUUAAUGGUUACCAUAGAAAUAUUUCACUCUGGGAGAGAUGGGAUUAAGAUGGCGGCGUAGAAGGACUGGAACGCAACUUCUCUCCUAAAAACAACAAAAUUCACAACUAAAGCCUGAGCAAUCUUCACCCAAAUGGACCGGAAACCUUAAAAAAGAUAUCCUACUCCAGAAGAAAAAGAGGAGGCCACUUCAACAGAGUCGGAUGUAUCUUAUUUUAUAUCCUGGAAAAAAAAUGGCAUUACAGCUGGUUUCUAUCUAAUAGAGAGUUUGUAGGAGUUCAUAUUUCUCCUUGUGGCAGAAGAGAAAGAAUAGAAGCUCUCUGACCUAUUUUGCCAGCAAUGAUUGGUUUUUCAAACCUGGAGAUCAUGAAACCCUGGUGUGAGGUCCAGCCUGGAGUGUCAUGUGUGAGUAUCCAAGCUGCUCAUUCAUUAGCAGCUGAAGUUUUCUCUACAUUGGCCCACUCUUGUCUCACCAAUGAGGUGGCAGGUUUCAAAGGCCAGUAAUAAGAAACAGUAAUUUUGUAGUCAUUUUGUAAACAGUUUCACAACACUUCACACAGAUAAAGACAGAAGUCAGACACAUUAAAAUGUCAGGAGAGUGUGGAAGUGCCAAUAACCAGAUAGUUCCUUUUUAACUUGGAAGCUAGUAUUCAUUCUCAUACCAAAAACAUCUCCAGUUUUUGAAGUACCUUUAGUGAAUUACCAAUAUAAUUCUAUCUCUUGGUGAGCACCCAUCUGUCACAGAAAAUCCAUACUCACACUUCUGUAAAGCUCUACAAUCUGCAUUUGGAAGAAGACAGUCAGCUAUUCCAAAGAAACCAUGAGGAGGUUUCGAUAAUAACAGUAAUCUGAUAUUUUGAAACCCUAGGCCAAUUUUCAGUCUUCCACCCUACAGUAAAAUUAGAGCUGGCCCCUGGUAAUAAACUGAUCUUUCUUUGACCAUAUUUCAUAUAGAUAACGACUGAUUCAAGCACAGAAACUAGGCCUCGUUAAUUGUGUGUCCACAACCCUAACAUCAGUGUUUAACACGGCAUAGGUCUUUAAUUAUGGUUGAAUUGAACUGCGUUUGCUAACCCUCAGCACCAAACAUGAUUUUUCAACUUGGAUAAUUUAGAACACCUUUGCAUUCUGUAGUUGCACUUCAUCUAGACAGCAAAACUUUAUUUAGGAGACAGAGAAUAAAUUAUACUGAAGCUUUCUAUCAAGUGGAAUUGAAUUUGCUUCACAAAAUCAUUAUUUUUUAAUCUGAGAAUUCCACAAAGAGUGACCCUAAU